ACAGAAAAUAGUUUACUUAAAAUAUUAAUUUUGGAGAUUAAAGAAAAGUCCCUGCUUUUUUCUG